rnacentral:rRNA from 1 species
GACGAACGCUGGCGGCGUGCCUAACACAUGCAAGUCGAACGAGAAGGCGUAGCAAUACGCUUGUAGAGUGGCGAACGGGUGAGUAAUACGUGGGUGACCUACCCUCGAGUGGGGAAUAACCCGCCGAAAGGCGGGCUAAUGCCGCGUACGCUUCCGUCCUCACGGGGACGGAAGGAAAGCUGUACCGUGGGUACGGCGCUCAAGGAUGGGCUCACGUCCUAUCAGCUUGUUGGUAGGGGUAACGGCCACCAAGGCUACGACGGGUAGCUGGUCUGAGAGGACGACCAGCCACACUGGGACUGAGACACGGCCCAGACUCCUACGGGAGGCAGCAGUGGGGAAUAUUGGACAAUGGGCGCAAGCCUGAUCCAGCGAUGCCGCGUGUGUGAAGAAGGCCUGCGGGUU